GUACAUGGAAGGUCAUCUCUCCAACCUGGUGGUGUUCGAGAAGGAAUGCAUCGCCUCCUUCCUACUCAAGGAGAAGGAGCGGAAGUCAAACCAGACAGAGGAAAAACUAACACGCAUUGAAGAAAGACUGACCUCUGUCGCGGGCAAAGGAGAAUCCGACAUUGAAAGGGUGGAAGACAUCCUGCUGGCUGUGGAGAACGGAGUGACCGGCCGACAACAG